rnacentral:rRNA from 1 species
UUGGGUUUAAAGGGUCCGCAGGCGGGAUUCUAAGUCAGUGGUGAAAGCCUACAGCUUAACUGUAGAACUGCCAUUGAAACUGGAAUUCUUGAGUGUGGUUGAAGUAGACGGAAUAUGUCAUGUAGCGGUGAAAUGCAUAGAUAUGACAUAGAACACCAAUUGCGUAGGCAGUUUACUAAACCAUUACUGACGCUCAUGGACGAAAGUGUGGGGAGCGAACAGGAUUAGAUACCCUGGUAGUCCACACCGUAAACUAUGAUCACUAGAUGUUGGCGAUAUACAGUCAGUGUCUUAGAGAAAUCGUUAAGUGAUCCACCUGGGGAGUACGUUCGCAAGAAUGAAACUCAAAGGAAUUGACGGGGGCCCGCACAAGCGGUGGAGCAUGUGGUUUAAUUCGAUGAUACGCGAGGAACCUUACCAAGGCUUAAAUGUAAAACGACCGGUUGAGAAAUCAAUCUUUUUUCGAACGGUUUACAAGGUGCUGCAUGGUUGUCGUCAGCUCGUGCCGUGAGGUGUCGGGUUAAGUCCCAUAACGAGCGCAACCCCUAUUUCUAGUUGCCAGCGAGUAAUGUCGGGAACUCUAGAGAAACUGCCCGUGCAAACGGAGAGGAAGGUGGGGAUGACGUCAAAUCAUCACGGCCCUUAUGUCUUGGGCUACACACGUGCUACAAUGGUCAAUACAGUGGGAUGCCAUCUGGUGACAGAGAGCAAAUCCAUAAAGUUGAUCCCAGUUCGGAUCGGAGUCUGCAACUCGACUCUGUGAAGUUGGAAUCGCUAGUAAUCGCACAUCAGCCAUGGUGCGGUGAAUACGUUCCCGGGCCUUGUACACACCGCCCGUCAAGCCAUGGAAGUUUGGAGUGCCUGAAGUCAGUAACCGAAAGG